UACGUACGAGGCGAGCGUUAUCCGGAAUUACUGGGCGUGAAGCGCGCGCAGGCGGACCAUUAAGUUGGGCGUGAAAUCUCCCGGCCUAACUGGGAGGGGUCGCCCAAGACUGGUGGUCUUGAGGACAGCAGAGGUGGGUGGAAUUCCUGGUGUAGUGGUGAAAUGCGUAGAGAUCAGGAGGAACACCGGUGGCGAAGGCGGCCCACUGGGCUGUCACUGACGCUGAGGCGCGAAAGCUCGGGGAGCGAACGGG
rnacentral:rRNA from 1 species